ACUAGCAUAUCAAUAAGCGGAGGAAAAGAAACCAACAGGGAUUGCCCUAGUAACGGCGAGUGAAGCGGCAACAGCUCAAAUUUGAAAUCUGGCCCCCGGGUCCGAGUUGUAAUUUGUAGAGGAUGCUUUUGGUGCGGUACCUUCCGAGUGCCCUGGAACGGGACGCCAUAGAGGGUGAGAGCCCCGUCUGGUUGGACGCCAAUCCUUUGUAAAGCUCCUUCAACGAGUCGAGUAGUUUGGGAAUGCUGCUCUAAAUGGGAGGUAUAUGUCUUCUAAAGCUAAAUAUUGGCCAGAGACCGAUAGCGCACAAGUAGAGUGAUCGAAAGAUGAAAAGCACUUUGAAAAGAGAGUUAAAAAGUACGUGAAAUUGUUGAAAGGGAAGCGCUCAUGACCAGACUUGGGCUUGGUUGAUCAUCCAGGGUUCUCCCUGGUGCACUCUUCCGGCCCAGGCCAGCAUCAGUUCGCUGUGGGGGAUAAAGGCUUCGGGAAUGUGGCUCCCUCGGGAGUGUUAUAGCCCGUCGUGUAAUACCCUGUGGCGGACUGAGGUUCGCGCAUUCGCAAGGAUGCUGGCGUAAUGGUCAUCAGCGACCCGUCUUGAAACACGGACCAAGGAGUCGUCUUCGUAUGCGAGUGUUCGGGUGUCAAACCCCUACGCGUAAUGAAAGUGAACGCAGGUGAGAGCUUCGGCGCAUCAUCGACCGAUCCUGAUGUUCUCGGAUGGAUUUGAGUAAGAGCAUACGGGGCCGGACCCGAAAGAAGGUGAACUAUGCCUGUAUAGGGUGAAGCCAGAGGAAACUCUGGUGGAGGCUCGCAGCGGUUCUGACGUGCAAAUCGAUCGUCAAAUAUGGGCAUGGGGGCGAAAGACUAAU
rnacentral:rRNA from 1 species